GAUGAACGCUGGCGGCGUGCCUAAUACAUGCAAGUCGAGCGAACAGACGGGGAGCUUGCUCCUCUGACGUUAGCGGCGGACGGGUGAGUAACACGUGGAUAACCUACCUAUAAGACUGGGAUAACUUCGGGAAACCGGAGCUAAUACCGGAUAAUAUAUUGAACCGCAUGGUUCAAUAGUGAAAGACGGUUUUGCUGUCACUUAUAGAUGGAUCCGCGCCGUAUUAGCUAGUUGGUAAGGUAACGGCUUACCAAGGCAACGAUGCGUAGCCGACCUGAGAGGGUGAUCGGCCACACUGGAACUGAGACACGGUCCAGACUCCUACGGGAGGCAGCAGUAGGGAAUCUUCCGCAAUGGGCGAAAGCUUGACGGAGCAACGCCGCGUGAGUGAUGAAGGUCCUCGGAUCGUAAAACUCUGUUAUUAGGGAAGAACAAAUGUGUAAGUAACUAUGCACGUCUUGACGGUACCUAAUCAGAAAGCCACGGCUAACUACGUG
rnacentral:rRNA from 1 species